rnacentral:lncRNA from 1 species
AUGAAGAUGAGGGAGAUGAGGAAGGCAAAGAUCUCCUGGGUGAAGCGCGAGACGAAGCGCACCAGGAAGCUGCCCUCGCAGGCCACCAUCAGGAGCACGAUCAGGAUGAGCCAGAAGCCGAUCCACACGCGCCCCACCAGGUACUCCAGCCCGUUGGACGUGCAGAACUGCAGCACAGAUGGGGUGAGCGGGGGUGGCCACAGGGACCCCACAGCCGGGAGCAGGCAGAACAGCACGCCCUGCAGCGACGUGGAGAUGAUCAGCUCUGACACCCCGAUCAGGUCGUGCGUCUUCUCCCCUGCGGAAAGUAUGGGGUCAGGAAAGGCCCGUGGGGUUGGGCCAAGGCCCCUCACUACGCACCACGCUCCUCCGGCCCACAGAGCGCUCUGCACAGCUCCCACAAGGCGCCCUGCUCCAUCCCGUGCAGCACGCCGCUUUGUGCCCACGCAGUGCACCGCCAUCCCAUCCCCACGCGCAGCACUGCUCUGUUCCCAUGCAGCACUGCCCCAUGCGGAUACACCCCACACGGUGCUCACCCAGCAGCCCCCCGAAGGUGAUGGCCGGGGACAGCGCGGCGAAGUAGAUGAAGAUGACGGCGGCGAUGCACUGCGGGUUCAGGGCGUCCCUGAAGUCGCUCAGGUAAUGGGGGUAUCGGCGCCGCACGUCCCGGAUCAGCCCCCCGAAGGGCCGCCCCGUGCGCCGCAGGGGAUCGUCCUCAUCCUCAUCCUCAGCCACCUUCAGCUUCAGCAGCGCUGCACCCGGAUGGAUGGACAGAUGGACGGUCGGCCCCGGCCACCCCGCGCCCACUCCGCUGUGCCCCAGCCCACCUUUCUCCUCGGGGGAUUUGGGCUCCAGCAGCAGCCUCCUCUCCUGCUCCUCGCGUUUCUUCAGCAUCUCACGCUGGAAGUGUGCGACGCUGCGCAGCAGCUCCUCGCCCUGCACCUCGGAGGGCGGCAGCACCACGCUGCAGUCCAGGAACUCGUUGAUGGCCGUCAGCAGGUCGUGCCGGUCGUCCGCCAGGUAGGCGGCCUCGUGGAAUUGCUGCGGGCAGCGGGGUCAGGGCGGGCUGCCGGGCACCGGCGGCCAGGGGCACGGGGAUGGGAGCGGGGCUGCGGGCAGGCAGGCAGUGGCACCCACCUUGUCGGACAUGAGGGUGGAGAUGGAGCGCCCGAUCUCAUGGUAAUCCAUGUGGGUGCUGCUAGGACCCAGCAGCACGAAGAGGAAGCGCACGGGGACGGGCACCUCCAGCACCGAGUCCAGCUCCACCGCCUCCUGCAGCCGCACGAAGGCCAUGGUGGGCUGGUCCAGGAACUCCACGCAGCCUGCGGGGCGCAGCGCUCAGCACGAGGCUCCACGGGGUGCACAGCACACAGCCCCCCCGCCACCCCUCCGUACCCACGAGCACCACGGUGGCCUCGGCGUUGUCAGGGAUUUUCUCCAGCAGCUUCAGCUCGUGCUUGGACUUGGAGCGGGUGAUGCCGGCGGGGGGCGCGGGGGUCGGGACCUCACGCUGCGGGCACAGGGUCAGCGCCGCCCGAGGAUGAGGAGUGGCAGAGGGGGGGGAGGGGGAGGAAGGGCUGCUCACCUCCCGCUCCACGUCCACGCGCGCGUCGUGUUCGGCACCGUGCCCGGCGAUGAGGGGCUCGGUGACGGCCGGCUCACCGCCCUCACCCACGUGGUUGGUGCUGUGGUGGUGCACCAGCAGCGAGCCCAGGCUGCCGGCUGAGAUGUUCCGGGGGAACGAGAACUCCUUCUCGUCGCUCGGGUGGCUGCAGACGGGCACGGAGCUGGGUGUGGAAGCCACGUGCCCGGGCCGGAGCCUCCCGGCGCCGCGCAGCCCCGGCAGCGCACCCACCUGUGCUUGAGCAGCAGCGCACGCAGCACGUUGGCGCGGUCCUCAGCCCGGAUCUGGUCGGUGAUGACCAUCUGCUCCACCACCUGGUGGGCCACGCCCGGCAGCGUCUUCUGGUCCAGAUCCAGCAGCACGGCGCCUGGGGGGCAGCGGGCUGAGCCGGGGACCCCCCUGAGCGCAGCCCCCGGGGUCGCCCCCGCGCCGUACCGUGGGACAGCGUCUUGCGCAGCUCCAGCAGGCUGCGGAAGGACAGCGAGGCCACGUGAGGUUUCCCCCAGCGGUCCGUCUCCUCCUCCACGUCCUCCUCAAACUUGAUCCAGCGCGCCGUCUCCUUCCACUGCAGCUCCUGGUUCUUGUCCAGCACCAGCUCGUUCAGCUCCACGAACACCUGCGGCGGCGCGGUUCGGUGGGUGCCCCAGAGCACGACGCGGGGCGGCCCCCCCCCGGGACCCCCAUCCCGGUACAACCCAC